rnacentral:lncRNA from 1 species
CUUAACAGGCGGGCUGAGGAAGUUGCCUCUCUCUGGCGCCUGCAUUCAAUGAACGUUUGUAAUGUUAGCAGGUGUGGACCUUGAGGAGAUUUUCUCUCCCUGGCUGCCCAAUUAUCAUUUUUAGAGAGGCAAUGCGAUAAUUGCUGAACGAUGUCACCUGACAUUCCUAGCGGGUGGGAGAGAGCCCUCUCCUGCCCCGCUCAUUGCCUAACUACCUGUAACAGGUGUGUGGGUGAGUGCUCCCUGUGAUGGAACGGUGUCCUGUUCAGGACUGGGUGCCACCUGGCACCUUGAGCUGCCAGGACCGGCUCGGGCUGCUCGCGAUCCCAAACUAGAACAAAUGGAAAUGUUCAGUUGUCUAGCUCACAGGGAUAUCCACAAGCCAGACCCAGAAAGCCUUUGCUACCAUUGAUGAAGAUGCCAAGUCCACAGCCCAACAGCCAGAAGACCCUUGGUCUAGACUAGUGGCCUUGUGAGAAGAGAGAGCAACACCAGCAAUGCACAUGCAAAGAGGAAAGGCCCUGCAAGGAUGCUAAGAACGAGGACGGCCAUCCGCCCACCAAGGAGAGAAGUAUCAGGAGGAACAAACCGGCCAACACCUUGAUCUUGGACUUCCAGCCUCCAGAACUGUCCGCAGCUUGGGCUACCUUCCAGCAUAAAGUCACUAAAGAUGUGCCGGGCAUGAUGAAGGAAGAAAGCGACUACAUGCUGAAGGAGAUGGUGCGGGGACUCGCUAGUACCUAUUGGCAGGACCUGGGGAACUUUGGUGGGUGCUUGAUAAUGGGGACUGGAAUAAAAACUGGCUAAGCAAAAAUUUAUGGACUUGGAUUCACUUUCUCAGAACACAGUUUAAUACCUUGGCAAGGAUUGCAGCAUAUGGGGCAAACUCCCUGCAGGGUGACCCUUAGAAACCUGGAGAAAAUGUAAAAGCCCUUUCUUGAGGAAUUGUCAUUUCCUAAAUUGUCAUGAAGAAAGGUAGAGAAAGGUAGAAAGAGGAUGAGGAAAGUGGGUACUCUGGAAUGGACACAUUAGGUGAGGACAGAAGAUCUGCCAGAGGUUAAGUAUUAUGACACGCUAUUCACUAAAACCAUUAGACACACCAUUCACCAGCUGGUGAAAAAGGCUACCAGAAUCACUAAAAUUUCAGUGGCUGUUCUAUGCAGGCCAGGGCUGAAGGUAGCAGAGGCCGUCACAGGCUGGACUCACUGACA